UAGCGCUGAGAGUCCCGGCUUUGCAGCCCACUCCCCGCCCGCACCCCCAGGAGGGAAGAUCCUGGACGCCCCCUGCCGUCCCUGCGAGGGCCACACGCGCCCACGAUGAGGCCUGCUUCCCAGACCUCAGCCUCCUCGGGGGUCAGGGCCCGGGCUCGCUGUCCCCGCAGCUUCUCCCGGCCCUCAGGUUUGGGGUCCCUUCCCGCGACGAGGGGCCGGCGGCCCGCACGGCUCCGAGCUCAGGGCCUCCCCGCCCCCGGCCCGCUCCCGUGGCCAUCUGGAGGCCCGCGAGCUGCAGCUGCGGCCCCGAAGACGCCGCGCGUCCCGCCGAGGGGUUACACUUGGCGUUUUGGGAAAACAAAGCUGAAUCAAGCACUUGGCAAUGAGUCUGAGAGAAAGAGCAGGUCAAAACAGUCCUCAGGGGCUUCCCUGGUGGCGCAGUGGUUGAGAAUCUGCCUGCCAAUGCAGGGGACACGGGUUCGAGCCCUGGUCUGGGAAGAUCCCACAUGCCGCGGAGCAACUAGGUCCGUGAGCCACAACUACUGAGCCUGCGCGUCUGGAGCCCGUGCUCCGCAACAAGAGAGGCCGCAACAGUGAGAGGCCUGCGCACCGCAAUGAAGAGUGGCCCCCGCUCGCCGCAACUAGAGGAAGCCCUCACACAGAAACGAAGACCCAACACAGCCAAAAAUAAAUAAAUAAAUAAAAAAUAAAAUAAAACAGUCCUCAGGACAGCAGGGGAAUAAUUUUCUAAGGAAAGGGCACACCCAGAGAGAGGAUGCCACCUCCACUCCUGGGAAUUUCCGGUAGGUGCCACCUGGGAUCUCCCCAGAGCCUCCCUCCCUUCCAUCUGCUGGUUGAGUGGUGGGGACACUGUGGAAGUCUCCCAGUAGCCUGCUCUUGGGAAAUAAAGAACGAUGGAUUAACCCAAGAGUUCUAGGACCCUGGAACUUAAUGUUGAGAAUGGUUGACAAACAAUUUAAAGGGAGAUAUUCGGCUUCCUAUUCAGGAUGAAGAGAUGUUCUUGUAUGUCUUCUUCACCAUGAGCCAAGCACUAUGCUAAGCUCUCAUUCUCAUGUCGUCAGAGCAACCCUGAGGAAUAAGUAUUGUUUUCCCUAUUUUAGAGAUAUGGAAACUGAAGCUCAGAGUUAUGAAAUGACGGACACCAAUCACACAGCUAUUGAGGGGCAGAAUCAGAAUUAUAAGACAGGUCUUGACUUCAAUCUUGGUAGAAGGAGAAAUUUACAUAAUUAAGAAAUGGAUGAAACCUUUGUUAGGUUUUGGGAAGCAUAUAAGGACAAACAUGGACCCAGCCACAGGUUUAGUAAGCAGGGUCUUCCAAACGGGAAUGACCAACGCACCCCAACCCCUUGGGUUGCCCUGUGCCAUUUCCACUUUGCAGUGCGGGGCAGCACCUCUGCUUUCCCGCUGGCUCGCCUGUAGACCGCACCGGGGAGCAGGGCAGGAGACUGCCAGCCUAGAGGGGGCAAAGGGGACUGACUUCUUCCCGGAGGCUUCCUGUGGGCUUUCCAUCUGCUUCCAGUUUGUGGGGGCAUCACCCCGGUCUCAGUUCUUCAGCCCAGCAAUAGCAGUUCUUUCCUGUGGCAGCGGCUCAAGCCAGUUUGCAGUUUCUCCUCAUCAUGUACCACAGCAACCCCCCGCCCCCCUCACCUACCGGAGAUCUCAGCACUAUUUGGACAACACCCCCUCCUCAGAAAAUUGGGUUCCAGACCCACAGGGCCCUUCUUCCCAGCUCAGAGAUGCUAGCACCAGCCGAGCAGUACCCCCUUCUCUGAGGUCCAUGUGUCAGCUCCGGGCCUCUCGUGUGAGUUUCUGUUUUCAUCAUUCUGACCACUUAGAUUCUCCCAGCCCUAGAGUGGUCGCUGCUUCCUGCAGUUACUCCCUUUGUGAUACCUUAAAGCUUUCUUUUUACUCUUUCACUUACUAGUUAAAUGUUUACCUACUUAACAGUUCUUUUUUUAAAACUUUAUUUUGUUGAAGUAGAGUUGAUUUACAAUGUCGUGUUAAUGAACAGUUCUUUAUAUUAAAUUUUCUCUGUUAAAAAAAA